GGCCCCGUAGUUCAACGGAUAGAAUAGAAGUUUCCUAAACUUUAGAUCUGGGUUCGAUUCCCGGCGAGGCCA
rnacentral:tRNA from 3 species